rnacentral:rRNA from 1 species
UACGAAGGUGGCAAGCGUUAUUCGGAUUUACUGGGCGUACAGGGAGCGUAGGCGGUUCGGUAAGCCCUUUGUGAAAUCUCCAGGCUUAACCUGGAACAGUCGGAGGGGACUGCCGGGCUAGAGGACGGGAGAGGAGCGCGGAAUUCCCGGUGUAGCGGUGAAAUGCGUAGAGAUCGGGAGGAAGGCCGGUGGCGAAGGCGGCGCUCUGGUACAUGAUUGACGCUGAGACGCGAAAGCGUGGGGAGCGAACAGG